CGAGAAAGUCGGCUUGUUGAUCUUUACUUCGGUAGAGGUAGGAAAGUCCGGACACCAUAGAGCAGUAAAGCGGAUAACAUCCGUCACCCGUGAGGGUAGGACAAGUGCAACAGAAAGCAAGUACAGUUCGGCUGUAGUGAAACCAGGUAAACUCUUUACGGUGCAAUGAUAAGUAUAUCGGUUCUUUUCAGUAAUGAAGAUAGGAGUUGCUCGCUCUGAAAGCCGAGGGGUAAUCAGCUCAAGUCUUGCAGUAAUGUAAGACGUAGAUAAAUAACAGGCACUUCUCAGAAGUACAAAAUCCGGCUUACAGAUUUUCUCGUGAU
rnacentral:RNase_P_RNA from 2 species